GUGCUCACUUCGGCAGCACUUAUACUAAAACUGGAACGACACAGAGAUUAGCAUAGCCCCUGUGCAAGGAUGACACGCAUAUUCGUGAAGUGCUCCAUAUUUUU